rnacentral:rRNA from 1 species
UACGGAGGGGGCUAGCGUUGUUCGGAAUUACUGGGCGUAAAGCGCACGUAGGCGGCUUGGUAAGUUAGAGGUGAAAGCCUGGAGCUCAACUCCAGAAUUGCCUUUAAGACUGCAUCGCUAGAAUCAUGGAGAGGUGAGUGGAAUUCCGAGUGUAGAGGUGAAAUUCGUAGAUAUUCGGAAGAACACCAGUGGCGAAGGCGACUCACUGGACAUGUAUUGACGCUGAGGUGCGAAAGCGUGGGGAGCAAACAGG